rnacentral:rRNA from 1 species
UUGAAAGGGAAACGAUUGAAGUCAGUCGUACCAGCGGGAAAUCAACCUUUCGAGUGGGGGUUUUGGAGUUUUGAAGAGUGUCAAAACCUUUGAGAUUUCAAAAUUUUCGCUCUUUUGGUGUACUUUCUCGUGGGUAGGUUAACAUCGAUUUUGAUCAUCAUAAAAAGAUUGGAGGAAUGUAGCUUCGAUCUUGUAUUGAAGUGUUAUAGCCUUUGGUAAAUGUGAUGAUUAGGAUCGAGGAUUGCAACGAAUACCCUUUUGGGCUAUCCGCCUGAUCUCUGAUACGUGGCCUUGGUAUCGAAAGCGUGCUUAUGGUAUUGAGGUAUUACGGUCAAAAGGUUAGAACGGGAUUUCGUUAAGGAUGUUGACGUA